UUAAGUCAGGCAACAAGCGAGACCCACGCCAACAGUUGCCAGCAUGUCCUCCGGGAUGGUGGGGACACUGUUGGGACCGCCUCUGCUAAAGAGGAGGAAGGAAUGGGCAACGGUAGGUCAGCAUGCCCCGAAUUAUCCGGGCUACACGCGGGCUACAAUGGUCAGGACAAUGGGUAUCGACACCGAGAGGUGAAGGCAAUCUCUUAAACCUGUCCUUAGUUCGGAUUGUGGGCUGCAACUCGCCCACAUGAAGCUGGAAUCCGUAGUAAUCGCGUCUCAAAAUGGCGCGGUGAAUAUGUCCCUGCUCCUUGCACA
rnacentral:rRNA from 1 species